rnacentral:rRNA from 1 species
GAUGAACGCUGGCGGCGUGCCUAAUACAUGCAAGUCGAGCGAACAGACGAGGAGCUUGCUCCUCUGACGUUAGCGGCGGACGGGUGAGUAACACGUGGAUAACCUACCUAUAAGACUGGGAUAACUUCGGGAAACCGGAGCUAAUACCGGAUAAUAUAUUGAACCGCAUGGUUCAAUAGUGAAAGACGGUUUUGCUGUCACUUAUAGAUGGAUCCGCGCCGCAUUAGCUAGUUGGUAAGGUAACGGCUUAUCAAGGCGACGAUGCGUAGCCGACCUGAGAGGGUGAUCGGCCACACUGGAACUGAGACACGGUCCAGACUCCUACGGGAGGCAGCAGUAGGGAAUCUUCCGCAAUGGGCGAAAGCCUGACGGAGCAACGCCGCGUGAGUGAUGAAGGUCUUCGGAUCGUAAAACUCUGUUAUUAGGGAAGAACAAAUGUGUAAGUAACUAUGCACGUCUUGACGGUACCUAAUCAGAAAGCCACGGCUAACUACGUG